UGAGUCACACGAGAGACAUACUAUCCGUUGCCUGAUUGUUCAAGAAGAGUUUAUGUGCUGUGAAACAUAUUUGUUUCUUUUCAUCAGUUGCUUUGUUUAAUCUUUUUUCCUGCAAAUAAUGAUGGCUUUGACAGUUCAUUCACGGGAGCCAAGAAGUAAAAGAAGAAGAAGCCAGUGAGUGUUUGACAUUUUCUGUCUUCCUGAGUUUUUUUUCCAUCCAUUACUUGGAUUUUGAAGAUUAUGUGUCUCACAUUCUUUUUAUUUUGAUGGUUGUUAGGUUGAAUGAAGAUCAUUGAAUAAAGAAAAUGUCGAUGCUCCUGAAGAUUUGGAGGGUACUUUAUAUUUCUUUCUCUGAUAAUUCUAUCGACAUAAAUUUGAACCUUACAGAGGGUAUAUUGCUGAGCAUCCUAAUGAUGAGGAAGAGGUGGAGGGAAUUGAUCUGCACCAGCAACGUUACCUGUGGGAGGGAAGUGACAUGGAUUACUUAUACGACGAGAGUUCUUUUGCACAGCUAUUGUCAAUGGAAUUAACACUGGAAAUUGAUGGUGCUAUAUUUCAUGUUCCAAAUGCUAACGCAAGCUCCAAUGUUGAUUCUCAGCUUUAACAUGCCAAAAUCACAAUGCAGUGGGUGUUGUAAGGAACCGUUUGUAAAUAAAUGUCUCGGAUGUAUAUGACUGCUUAGUUUGUUGCUUUUGACAGUGAAAUCACUAAGCUUGCAAUGUGUCAAGACAGCAAAAGCAUCUCAGCUGAUGAUUGUGAAUGAAAGGCACAAGCAGGGAACAUAUGUGUAGCUGCGUUCGACUCGACAUGUAGCGGUAUCUGCAGAUCUGUUGAUCCCAUUGUGGAGGUUAACAUGCAAUGUUUUGACCUGGAAAUCAUUAUUUGGAAGUUACAUUUCGAGGCAUUUCCUCAACAUAUAAAUAGACCAUAGACAGAGUUUGAUAUUUAUAAUAUUCAGUGAUCAUGGAGUCUGCAGAAAACAGUCCUUUUGCAUAUUCUAUAUGGAACCAAGAGAUAUGUCCUUUGUUUGAUGAUUGUAUUAUGAUAGCUACUAACAUAGGAGAUGACUAGAGAAAGCGAAAUGAGUAUGAAACUCUUAUAUGGGUAGCUUUUGUAAACACAUUUGAGUUUAUUAACAGUUGUGACAAGCAAUUAUGUUUAUAGUAAAGGAAAUCCGCCGCAGCGUCAAUAACAAAUGCGCCUGUUUUUUUGUUGUUUGGGAUUGAAAUAGCUUAUGGGUUUUCUAAAUCAAUAUAAUUGAUUUGACUAAACAUAUCUUGGAUGACAAAAAGAAGGAUUGCAAGUUUAAUAACUUCUACUUUAGACUUUAAUUUCAACUAAAUUAUAAUCAGUAUUUUAUCCAUAUCAUCUUAGUUAUAAUCGUAAGGAUUUAUUAGAAUAAAUAAACAGUUUCAACAAUAUUUAAUAUGUGAUUUAAUAAACAAAAGAACAUGUAGGAUUUUUAGGAUUUAAAGAGAUUGAAGACAAUGGUUAAUGAAUAUGAAAAGAAUACGAAGCAGAUGAUGAAAAAUAAUUCGAGCAAAUUAGUGGCAACACAGAGCUAAGCGAGAUAAAAAUAUCAAUCAAUAAAGAAUGAAAGAAGAAUGAGCAGGGUUAAGUUAUUACACAAGCCAAAACUAAGACAAAUCAAACGACAGAACGUGAAAACAAAUGUAAACAAGACAAGAGGAGAUGGUGAAGAUAAAAUGCAUUGAAAAACUGAAUGCUAGAUUAGUAAGCAAGAGACAAAAA